UGAAGCUGUAAAGUUGUAUCAGUACUGCCGUUAUGUUGCAAUUAGCUAAAAGCUGUUCAUGAUGCAUGCGUUUAUUGUUGAUUUUCUUUUUUUCAGACUUGGGGGUCAUUGUUCACAUAUUAUAGGCCUCCUCAAGACCUUGCAGUAUUUCAAACUGCAAAGUUUUUCCUCAAUCCCUGACCGAUUGAGCUGCACCAGUAUGCCACAAGCUUGGGGAGCACAAUCAGCUCGGGGUUUGAGGAUUGAACCCGUGCCCAUCAACCACCUCACUCUAGCACGAAACGUGACUCACCGCAAGCGCAGACCGAAGGAAUGCAGUGUGGACUUGAACAAAAUAGUGACAAAGGUUGAACCCGAGGAGAUAGCUGCACUGAAAUUAUUACAUGGUACUCCAUUGACAUAUAUGCUGACGCCUUCAGCACCAACUGUCUCUACACCCCUGGGAGAAGUGCAAAUUGGGUCAGCUGUUUCCUAUCAGACAAGGAACUUGAAGGCAGAUGCGACAGCGGUCAUGCAACAGUGUGGCAACACCUGUGUCACAAAUAACCCACCAGUGGAUCUUCCAGAAAGAUAUAAAGCGUUGAAAGACCUUAAUAUUUGUGAAGAUCCUGUGGAACUGGAAGCUCGAACCAGAGAACAGAGUAAAUGUGCUGAGUGGUUUGAGGCAAGAAAAAAAAGGCUUACAGCCUCAAAUUUCCAUCGAGUUAUGGUCAGGAAAGCAAAGGUCACACACAAGUUUUUAGAGUCAAUUUUUGACGCUAACUCUGUUUCAGCCCCUUCACUGGAUUACGGGCGAAGAAACGAGCCCUUAGCAAAAUCAAAAUAUUUACAGACUCAUCAGGACCGGCACUUGCAUGAGUGUGGCUUUGUGGUCAGUAAUCACUUUCCCUUCAUAGGUGCUUCACCCGACGGCAAAGUAUGUGACGGUGGCCGAUCAGGUCUAAUAGAAAUAAA